GCGAAUGCGAGCGCGACGGCUCCGUGCGGGUUCAGGGAGGCGACGUGCCCCGGUCGCGGGCGCCUAAGGGCAAACGUGGUCGAGGCUAGUCUCCGUUCCGCUCUCCCGCGCUGGAGCUCCCAGCGUCGCUGGCGUCCACCGCCGUCGGCUUCGAGGAAGGUGACCGUGGCUCGCCCUCGGGCGUCUACGGAGCUUACAGCCGAUGUCGGCGCGAGUGGAGGCGAGCGUGGUGAACGCGACGCUUCGCGUGGCAGUGCGGGCCUCUCCCCUCGUGGGAGCGGGCCGGGUCUCUUCUGGGCGGGCGGGCCAGCCGGCGAGGGACUGCUCGACAGUGCCACGUUGUGCUCGGUCUGGUCGUCCGGGAGGUGGACGACGACUCGCGCUGCAGUCGCUGGGACCACUGGCGCUCGCAUCCGA
rnacentral:rRNA from 1 species